rnacentral:rRNA from 1 species
AUGCCAUGGAAAGGUUAUAAUUUUGAAGACGCGGUACUAAUUAGCGAACGUUUGGUAUAUGAAGAUAUUUAUACCUCUUUUCACAUCCAGAAAUAUGAAAUCCAAACGGAUACAACAAGCCAGGGCUCCGCUAAAAAAAUCAGUAAAGGAAUACCACAUCUAGAAGAACAUUUACUCCGCAAUUUGGACAAAAAUGGAGUUGUUAGGUUGGGAUCCUGGGUAGCAUUAUUUAGCUUGGCAAGAAGAAUUUGUCACUACGUUCCGGUCCAUAUGAAGAAUGCGCUGUUCAUGCCAGAAACAUACUUUCUCUCAUUUAUCAACAGCUAUAGUUUGUGA